ensembl:lncRNA
AGAGAGAUGAGUAACACAGCUUAGAGAGGUGUAUGUGUAUAACAGAGAAAGAGAUAGAUGAGUAACACAGCUUAGAGAGGUGUAUGUGUAUAACAGAGAAAGAGAGAGAGAUGAGUAACACAGCAAAGGGUGGUGUAUGUGUAUAACAGAGAAAGAAGGAGAGAGAGAUGAGUAACACAGCUUAGAGAGUUGUUUGUGUAUAACAGAGAAAGAAGGAGAGAGAGAGAUGACUAACACAGCUUAGAGAGGUGUAUGUGUAUAACAGAGAUAGAAGGAGAGAGAGAUGAGUAACACAGCUUAGAUAGCUGUAUGUGUAUAACAGAGAAAGAAGGAGAGAGAGAUGAGUAACACAGCUUAGAGAGGUGUAUGUGUA